rnacentral:rRNA from 1 species
UCCUACGGGAGGCAGCAGUGGGGAAUAUUGGACAAUGGGCGCAAGCGUGAUCCAGCCAUGCCGCGUGAGUGAUGAAGGCCUUAGGGUUGUAAAGCUCUUUCACCGAUGAAGAUAAUGACGGUAGUCGGAGAAGAAGCCCCGGCUAACUUUGUGCCAGCAGCCGCGGUAAUUCGAAGGGGGCUAGCGUUGUUCGGAAUUACUGGGCGUAAAGCGCACGUAGGCGGAUAUUUAAGUCAGGGGUGAAAUCCCAGAGCUCAACUCUGGAACUGCCUUGAUAAGGGGUAUCUUGAGUAUGGAAGAGGUAAGUGGAAUUGCGAGUGUAGAGGUGAAAUUCGUAGAUAUUAGCAGGAAAACCAGAAG